CCUGAUUGGUUCCGCCAUUGAUGGGGAAGACGUUAGUGGGAGUGAGACAAAGCUAUACAAGUGGGAGUGAGACAAAGCUAUAACAUAAGUGAUCGUGAUCCGCUAUGCCCGGCUGCGGCUAUGCUACAAUUUUCAAGUACGAUAGUUGAAGAACAAAAUUACCUCGAUCGUUCGCUAUGCAAAAGUAUGACUAUUUCGUAAGCGAGUAAAAUUCACGUUAGAAUAAAAUGCCUAGUUGUGCGGCGCAAGGAUGCUCAAAUUCCUGGAAAUCAGGUUACAAAAUGUGUUAUUUCCCAUUAAAAGAUACACAAAGAUGUGCAAUAUGAUUUCACAACGUGAAUCGUACAAAUUGGAUCCCAACAAAACAUUCAACACUAUGUCAGGUUUAUUUUGCUCCUGAAAUGUGGGAAAAACAUAUAGAGCAGAUGGCAGCUUGAAAUUAAAAAUGAAUGCCAUACCUACUUUAUUUGGUGAAACAGUUACAAAAGAGCUAAUAAUAUAAUUAACGAAAUUGAAAAUAAAGAUCAAUCAACGGAAGACUUUGUGCAAAGUGAGACGGUGCAUAUUAAAGAAAAUUCGUCCCAAAAUAAUGAACAUGAACCAAUGGAAUAUGAAAAUAAAGAUCAAUCAACGGAAAACUUUGUGCAAAGCGAGACGGUGCAUAUUGAAGAAAAUUCGUCCCAAAAUAAUGAACAUGAACCAAUAGAGUAUGAAGAUGUGAACGAAACUAUAAAUAUUGAAAGUAGCGAAGCAGAAAAUGGAAAAUCCGUGCAAUUAAAUAAAGUUUUAAAUUCGUGCACUAAUUGUUUACAAAAAGACAAAACAAUAGAAGAAAUGCGUAAACUUUUAACAAAAAUUGAUCUCUUACAUAAACAUGCAAAAGAAAAACUUUUCAAUGCAAAUCGCAAUAUAAAACGUUUACAACAACGAAAAGGUUCUUCCCAUACAAUUGCAACAAAGGUAAAGAAUAUGUUUAGCGAUACGCAACUAAAACUGUUAUCGAAACGUUCGUCGUUAUUGUAUUUGAAAUUGAAUUAAAUUUAGCGGUCAAACAUCACGCUGGGCUCUUAUUGCCUUUGUCGAGUUUUUUGGUUGAUUAAUUACAGAGCCGUUAUAUAGUAAUUUAAAACUGUUAUCUGGCGAAUUUAUCAAAGUUCCAAAAUGGUGCAAUAAUACUAUACAAAAAGCACUAAAAUUAAGGUUUGCAUGUGGUAGCUCAGGUUAUGAGGAAGUGAUUCGUAAUUUUCCUUUACCUUCGCUACGAACAUUAAAUAGGAAAAUGCAAAAUAUAAAUUUUAAUGGUGGUAUUUUGAAUGACAUUUUUGACUUUUUAAGUAUUAAAGUUUCUUCCUUCAAAAAUAGUUUAGAUAAUCAUUGCAUGCUAGUGCUAGAUGAAAUGAGCAUAACACCUAGUCAUGUAUUAGAUCUAUCAAAAAAUACGUACUUAUAGCGAAUUCGGGCGCUUGCACUAGUGCACACUGAGUGCGCACUAAGGCUUGUUCUUAAUCACAAUUAUUAUAUUUACAAAUCAUCUUAAAUACUUCUUAGUCUAUAAAAUGAUUUUUACACCAUCCAUAUAGAUAUUACAGAUUAUUUUAUUGGCCAAAAAAUC